ACUCAAAGGAAUAGACGGGGGCUCACACAAGCGGUGGAGCAUGUGGCUCAAUUCGAAGCAACGCGAAGAACCUUAUCCAGGGCUUGACAUGCACGGAUUAGGUCGCCGAAAGGUGACUGACAUCGCAAGAUGGAACGUGCACAGGUGCUGCAUGGCUGUCGUCAGCUCGUGCUGUGAAGUGUCGGGUUAAGUCCUCUAACGAGCGAAACCCCUGCCUCUAGUUGCCAACGUCCUUCGGGACGCGCACUCUAGCGGGACUGCCGGUGUCAAACCGGAGGAAGGUGGGGACGACGUCAAGUCCUCAUGGCCUUUAUGCCCUGGGCUGCACACGUGCUACAAUGGCGCAUACAAACCGACCCGAUACCGCAAGGUGGAGGAAAUCGGAAAAAAUGCGCCCCAGUUCAGAUCGGAGUCUGCAACUCGACUCCGUGAAGCCGGAAUCGCUAGUAAUCGCGAAUCAGCUACGUCGCGGUGAAUAUGUUCCUGAGCCUUGUACACACCGCCCGU
rnacentral:rRNA from 1 species